rnacentral:rRNA from 1 species
UGGGGAAUCUUGCACAAUGGGGGCAACCCUGAUGCAGCGACGCCGCGUGAGCGAUGAAGCCCUUCGGGGUGUAAAGCUCUUUCGGCAGGGAAGAUAAUGACGGUACCUGCAGAAGCAGCUGCGGCUAACUACGUGCCAGCAGCCGCGGUAAUACGUAGGCAGCGAGCGUUGUUCGGAGUUACUGGGCGUAAAGGGUGUGUAGGCGGUUCUUUAAGUUUGGUGUGAAAUCUCCCGGCUCAACCGGGAGGGUGCGCCGAAUACUGAGGGACUAGAGUACGGGAGAGGAAAGUGGAAUUCCUGGUGUAGCGGUGAAAUGCGUAGAUAUCAGGAGGAACACCGGUGGUGUAGACGGCUUUCUGGACCGUAACUGACGCUGAGACACGAAAGCGUGGGUAGCAAACA